CUAUCUUCCCACCAAAAAUCACGACCAUUGGCUAUUGGACGUGUCACCGGCGGUGAGUUUUUCCGUUGGACAUGGUGGUUCGCCAGGAAAUUUGGUUCCUGUGAGUUUUUGGUGAUCCCACCUAUCAUUUUCCAUUAAUUUGACCUCCCUAAACCUAAAUUGGAGGUUUUUUUUCCCCAAUUUUUGACGGAUUGUGAGAUUUGAGGACAUUAAGUCUGGAACUUUUUUGGCGAGAUUCCGACCACAAUAAGUCUGAUCCCUAAAAGGUACACGUAUGGAUCGUGGGACCAAUCCCGUUGAGGAUCUUGAUUGAUUCACAUGUUGAGAUUUAUAGGGUCUCCAUGGGAAUUAUAAUGCAGAGUAAGUAUUAGCCACCCCCUUUCACGGCCAAGUUGACUGUUGAUAGCGUCAGCAUCAUUGGAAUGCCAAGGCGACCGGAUGCAGGCUCAAAUUUGGUAGACGUUGAUCGUCCGGGGUGAGCUUGACUUCUUAGUUCAUUGCCAUCUUCCGAGGAGUUUUUUCUUUCUUUUCCUUCCUAUCUUGUAAUUUUUGCUUUUUAUCUUUUGUUAUACUAAAUUCAAUACUUAGUUGUAACUUUAAAAUGCUUUGUAUGCUACAUUGGGGAUUUAUUUAUUUAAUAUUGCACUGAUUCCCUCUU